CAUCGAUGCCUCCACAGUGUUAGAAUUAAUCUGCAGCCUGGUCACCUGAGCCACAUUGAUCACUGUGGGAAAUAGGCAUCUCUUCUUUCUGUUUUAAAUAGACACAUCAUAUCAUUGUUAAUAGGCCUAGAAGACAAAGAUUUAAGAAAAGUAGAGAAAGCAUUCCUUUGGGAAGAAAAAUUACCAUUAUGAAAGACUAGGGGUCUGGGCUGGUUGGUUUGGCAGUGUUCCACAUCCAGUUAUUAAGGAUGUGUUAAGAAGCACGUUUCCCAGCAUGGGGUCCAGUGAGUGCAUAGUCAGUGGUGACGAUGUGGUGAUUGUGACUAACAUAGCAGAGGGCCCACUGAGCAGGUGGAAGAGUUCUCUCUUGACUCCUCCCUGCCACCUAGCUCCUGGAACAGAGUAAGAAUGACAACCUCAUUUUACACAGUGUAUGCAUUUUGAGAAUGUGACCCAUAAAUUGAAUCUCAUUUUAAGCAUAUCAAGGAAACUAGGUGUUUAAAGGGAUUCUUUGAAAUCCUUUUAUAAAAUGAAUCCUUGAAAAAAUGAACUGUCAUACAUUGGCUUUUCAUAACAUCAGAGUUCACUCACAGCUACUUAAUACCCCAACAUAAGGAACAGUGACAUCUGUCCCUGCUCUGACUGAUGGUUCAUGUACCACCCUUCAGCCAAGAGAGCAGGUUCUGCCUUGUCAAUACACCGUGCAUCCUUACAUACAGGUGACUAGCAAAGCUAAGCAGAUUCCACGAGCCAGGCAGGGAGUCAAGUAUUGAUUUAUGAGGCUGAUAUUCUGACUUUUGUAGGUGUUUAACUCAUUUUUAUGACCAGAGUUUGUGCUUUUGACUGCCUCUCUCUUAAUCCUCUUUUUUUGCCAUAUGUAGGAAUGAAGUUUUUGGAAGACUGCCCCAUACAGCCUCUCAUUCCUCUAUAUUUGCUAGUCGGUGGGAUCAUCGGUACCUUAAAGGUGUCUCUCCUACUACAUGACUCCACCAGGAUGAGGUGGCUUCUGUCCAAAGCUGUGGUGAUUGAUGAUGAUGAUGAUGAUGAAUAUCCCUGGAGGCAGAAUGUGCACAAAUACUACAUCCACCUCAUCCUCAGCCUCUUCCUCUUCCUCUGGUUCAUUCUGGGGAAUUACUAGGUCUUCUCUGUGUACCUGCCAGACUUUAUUCCACCUUUUCAGCAGCCUCAGGCUUACUGUGACAAAACCCUGUACCUCUUUGCAGUAGGGGUCCUGGUGCUCAGCCACACUGUGCUGGUCUUACUCGUCCUGGGCAGCAGUUAUGUCUAUGUGUGUUCUAAGUGGAGAUUCGCUGCCGAUGAAGACUGACACCCACACCUUCCCACGAGUGUGUGUGCACACACACACAGACACACAUGUGCACACACAUAUACACACAUAAUUUUGGGAGAAAAGCACACUGAUGAGUGGACAGAAUGUCCCCAGAAGGAAUUUCAGGAACCACCAACAUGUACUGAGGAUUCUACCAGACUUAAGAAAUUCUGGCCUGCCUGGACCUGCUCUUCUCCAAGUGGGAAUUUUAUACUCAUAAGAGUUACCAAAGGGAUUUUUCUUUUUUAGGGGAAAGAUGAGGAAGGCAAAGACUGGGGGACCCCUUUCAAAUCACAGCACAAUUUCCUGUAGAAAGGUUUGUUGUUAUUGCUGCUUGGAGGUCAUUCAGCCACCAGCACAGGAAGCUGAAGAAAGAAUGUGGUUCUUCAGACAACACAGAGCUUAGAUUUUCUUGCAGUGAUGGCUUUUGUUAUUAAAAAGAGAAAAAUAGGGCUGGGGAUUUAGCUCAGUGGCUCUGGCGCCUUCCUCAAAAGCUCAAGGUCCAGAGUUCGAUCCCUGGUACCAAAAAAAAAAGAAAGAAAAUUAAAUAAAUAAAUAAAUGAAUAAAUAAAUAAAUAAAAAGAGAAAAAUGUCCUUCAAUAACUCCAAGUCUCUUGGGGAAAAUUAAGGGGCAGUUUCUCCCAAUCCCAAAUCAGAAAGUUUUGAUCUAAUGGGAGGGGACAGCCCAAGGAUAGCUGUAACAUCUGCCAAGGUCAAGAAAGUAGAGUCCAUCCAGGGGCUCUGGCUGGCCUGCUGGGCUGGCCUAGCAGAUAGCAGGAUUCCUUUUGUCUUGGGCUCUGUGUUCUCUCAUUGCACAUGAAGUAUUUGGCCUUUAGUCCCUGUCCUUCCUGGUUAUCUGUGGCACAGACCAGUGAUUUGUGGAUGGCUUUGUGGCACAAACCAGUCUUGUAUGUUUCCAGCCAGGUGCU
rnacentral:lncRNA from 1 species